UACAGAGGUCCCGAGCGUUGUUCGGAUUCACUGGGCGUAAAGGGUGCGUAGGUGGUUGUGCAAGUCUGAUGUGAAAUCUCCGGGCUUAACCCGGAAAUGGCAUUGGAAACUGCAUGGCUAGAGGGUUGGAGGGGGGACUGGAAUACUUGGUGUAGCAGUGAAAUGCGUAGAUAUCAAGUGGAACACCAGUGGCGAAGGCGAGUCUCUGGACAUUUCCUGACGCUGAGGCACGAAAGCCAGGGGAGCAAACGGG
rnacentral:rRNA from 1 species